UUGGGGUUUACACACAUCCUGUUUCUAACUCCCCAGCUCCUUGGGGAAACACUCAGGCCAUGACGGGAAGAGAAGGGACGCAGGCCCCGAGCCCACGGACAGGGAGACGACUCAAGGCUCCUCUGCGUCUGGGCUGCCCACUUUGUUUUCUCUCUGCCCAAGCUUGUCAUUCAUGUGCACCGGAAUCAUCUGAGCGCCACAUGCUGACCCUUGACUUUUUAGAUGUUCUCUGUAAUGUGCAGCUAACUGAUGACCAGGAGUAGCUUCUCCAUUUGGGAUUGAGUGACUUUCUCAGCUGACAAUUCACUGUGGCAGGGCUGCCAGAGUGGGCUUCACAGAACACAGCUCUACCCAUGCUGCUCCUCCGCUCGAUGGCCUUUGCAGUCCCUGUGGCUUACCCACAGAUGACUGUUGCAAUGAAGAGCCAAAUUUCUUACAAAAAGUCAUUUAUCAAGUUUUGCUCAUGACCAGAAGGAGAAGCAGGGCAGUACUGUCUCAUUAAAAGAAACAGAAGAAAGCUUCCAGAAGUCAAAAGUGGUACCAUCAUAGCUGUGACCCGCCUCCCAACACAUCUGCAGCUUUGGGACACAUCCCUGCGCAGUUCUCCCCACUGAUUGCCACCACGCCAGCUGUUGGAAGGGUUUCUGAUUUCCCCUCCUGCACCCACAACUUGCUUCUGUUUAUCCUAAAGGAUUCCCACUCCUUGGAUGAGGCUUCUUGAUGAUAGAAAACCCCUGUGGCAUUAGGUGGAGAGUGGGUCCAGUCUGAUUUUAUUCCUCAUCACCUGUGUGUCCUCCGCCUACGCUGUGCCUUCCUCCACUUUUUUCUUUUAUAUGCUUUCUGAUGCUUUUCUAUGAUGCCCCAAAGAGAGCCUCAUUUCCCUCUGCUUUUCUCUACAUGUCUAGUCCAUUCAUCCUUGACUACAGAGUUAUCAUUUGUAACAAUAGCUUAAAAUGGUGAAGUUCUUGUUUAAAAAAAUAAUUCCACUUUUAUUUAUUAUUAUUGAGAAAUAAAAUUUCUUUCUUUCUUUCUAUGCUGCCAAGGCUGGAGGGCAGUAGCUAUUCAUAGGUGCCAUCAUAGCUCACUACAGCCUCCAACUCCUGGGCUUAAGUGAUCCUCCCACCUCAGCCUCCUGAGUAGCUGGGACUACAGGUGCGUACCACCACGCCCAGCUGGUUGAGUUCUUACUAUGAGCCAGGCAAUGUACUUUCAUGUAGAUUAUCUCAUUUACUUCUCAUUCUAGUUUUGUUGGGGGGGGGAAUAUUACUAUUUUUGUGCCCACUUUAUAGCAUGGAGAACUAAGGCUAAAAGAGAUAACGUUUCCAAGUUUACACAGUUAGAAAACAGCAGCAGCAGGAGUUAGACUCAUUCCAUCUCUCUUUAUCCACAAUGCUGCAAUGCCUUGCUCUGUGAAAGUGGGUGCUGCUCAUGGAUUGCUCGUACAGCAGGGCCGUGGGGAGAUACUGACAUCUUGCAUACAGUCCGCUAAGUACCAGACAGCCUCCCUGGCAAAGCGCCUAGUGACAGCUGCCAUGGAAACGACCUUUCUCCACACCUGCUCAGGCUACUUCCAUCUAGGGGAGGCUCCCUGGUCCUUGCCUGAUUCCGGUCCAAUCCCUUACUUCAGAAAACUCCACCCUUGGGGCAGGUGACACCAGCAAGCAGCCACCUGUAGCCCAACCUGCCCUUGGAGAAACAGCAUGGAAACGAACUUACAGACUUCACAACGGAGCUCCUUCUUCCACACACUUUCCCUCGUGGCUUCCUACAAAUGUAGAACCCCCAAUGUCAUUCCCCUGCCCUUGCCUCCAACUUCUGUGUAUAGGGCUUAUGACUAAUGAAAAAUCUGAAUACAGUAAAAAUUGAAUCCAGAUAAAAAAGGGUUUCCUUGAAAAUUCUUCCUAGUCAU